UAAUACGUAGGGCGCAAGCGUUGUCCGGAAUUAUUGGGCGUAAAGAGCUCGUAGGCGGUUUGUCGCGUCUGCUGUGAAAACCUAAGGCUCAACCUUGGGCUUGCAGUGGGUACGGGCAGACUAGAGUGCGGUAGGGGUGACUGGAAUUCCUGGUGUAGCGGUGGAAUGCGCAGAUAUCAGGAGGAACACCGAUGGCGAAGGCAGGUCACUGGGCCGCAACUGACGCUGAGGAGCGAAAGCAUGGGGAGCGAACAGG
rnacentral:rRNA from 1 species